AACGUAGGUGGCAAGCGUUAUCCGGAUUCACUGGGCGUAAAGCGUGCGCAGGCGGCUGUGUAAGUCAGAUGUAAAAUAUCCCGGCUUAACUGGGAAAGACCAUCUGAUACUGCACGGCUUGAGGACAGCAGAGGGAGGUAGAAUUCCCGGUGUAGUGGUGGAAUGCGUAGAUAUCGGGAGGAAUACCAGUGGCGAAAGCGGCCUUCUGGGCUGCACCUGACGCUGUUGCACGAAAGCGUGGGGAG
rnacentral:rRNA from 1 species